rnacentral:rRNA from 1 species
GACGAACGCUGGCGGCGUGCCUAAUACAUGCAAGUUGAGCGCUGAAGGUUGGUACUUGUACCAACUGGAUGAGCAGCGAACGGGUGAGUAACGCGUGGGGAAUCUGCCUUUGAGCGGGGGACAACAUUUGGAAACGAAUGCUAAUACCGCAUAAAAACUUUAAACACAAGUUUUAAGUUUGAAAGAUGCAAUUGCAUCACUCAAAGAUGAUCCCGCGUUGUAUUAGCUAGUUGGUGAGGUAAAGGCUCACCAAGGCGAUGAUACAUAGCCGACCUGAGAGGGUGAUCGGCCACAGUGGGACUGAGACACGGCCCAAACUCCUACGGGAGGCAGCAGUAGGGAAUCUUCGGCAAUGGACGAAAGUCUGACCGAGCAACGCCGCGUGAGUGAAGAAGGUUUUCGGAUCGUAAAACUCGGUUGGUAGAGAAGAACGUUGGUGAGAGUGGAAAGCUCAUCAAGUGACGGUAACUACCCAGAAAGGGACGGCUAACUACGUG